GGAAUAUUGGACAAUGGGGGGAACCCUGAUCCAGCGACGCCGCGUGAGUGAAGAAGUAUUUCGGUAUGUAAAGCUCUAUCAGCAGGGAAGAAAGAAAUGACGGUACCUGACUAAGAAGCCCCGGCUAACUACGUGCCAGCAGCCGCGGUAAUACGUAGGGGGCAAGCGUUAUCCGGAUUUACUGGGUGUAAAGGGGGCGCAGACGGCCAUGGCAAGCCCGGUGUGAAAGGCAGGGGCAUAACCCCUGGACUGCACUGGGAACUGUCAGGCUGGAGUGCCGGAGGGGUAAGCGGAAUUCCUGGUGUAGCGGUGAAAUGCGUAGAUAUCAGGAGGAACACCGGCGGCGAAGGCGGCUUACUGGACGGCAACUGACGUUGAGGCCCGAAAGCGUGGGGAGCGAACAG
rnacentral:rRNA from 1 species